rnacentral:rRNA from 1 species
UACGUAGGGUGCAAGCGUUAAUCGGAAUUACUGGGCGUAAAGCGUGCGCAGGCGGUUUUGUAAGUCUGUCGUGAAAUCCCCGGGCUCAACCUGGGAAUUGCGAUGGAGACUGCAAGGCUAGAAUCUGGCAGAGGGGGGUAGAAUUCCACGUGUAGCAGUGAAAUGCGUAGAGAUGUGGAGGAACACCGAUGGCGAAGGCAGCCCCCUGGCUCGCAACUGACGCUCAGACACGACAGCAUGGGGAGCGAACGGG